rnacentral:rRNA from 1 species
AUUGAACGCUGGCGGCAGGCCUAACACAUGCAAGUCGAGCGGAUGAAGGGAGCUUGCUCCUGGAUUCAGCGGCGGACGGGUGAGUAAUGCCUAGGAAUCUGCCUGGUAGUGGGGGAUAACGUCCGGAAACGGGCGCUAAUACCGCAUACGUCCUGAGGGAGAAAGUGGGGGAUCUUCGGACCUCACGCUAUCAGAUGAGCCUAGGUCGGAUUAGCUAGUUGGUGGGGUAAAGGCCUACCAAGGCGACGAUCCGUAACUGGUCUGAGAGGAUGAUCAGUCACACUGGAACUGAGACACGGUCCAGCCUCCUCAGGGGGGCACCAGUGGGAAAUAUUGAACAAUGGGCAAAAGCCGGACCCAGCCAUGCGGGGUGGGCGAAGAAGUUCUUCGAAUUUUAAGGCUCUUUAAGUUGGGAGAAAGGGCAGUAAUUUAAUACCUUGCUGUUUUGACGUUACCAAAAAAAUAAGCCCCGGCUAACUUCGUC